UCAAGCUAAUAAGAGCACAGGGUGGAUGCCCAGGCACCAAACGCCGAUGAAAGACGUGGCAAGCUGCGAAAAGUCACGGGGAACCGCAAGCAGGUAUUGAUCCGUGAACGUCUGAAUGGGGAAACCCGGCGGGUUAACAGCCCGUCACUAUUAACUGAAUCAAUAGGUUAAUAGAGGGAACGCGGGGAACUGAAACAUCUCAGUACCCGUAGGAAGAGAAAAUAAAGAAUGAUUUCCUAAGUAGCGGCGAGCGAACGGGAAAGAGGCCAAACCGAAGGGCUUGCUCUUCGGGGUUGUGGAUCAGCAAAAAGGACGGAAGACCUUAGCAGAAGAGGAUUGGAAAGUCCCGCCAGAGAGGGUAAAAGCCCCUUACGCGAAAAGGUCAAACGACGAGCUGACACCAGAGUACCGCAGGACACGAGAAAUCCGGUGGGAAGCCGGGAGGACCACCUCCCAAGCCUAAAUACGAAUUGGUGACCGAUAGCGCAUAGUACCGUGAGGGAAAGGUGAAAAGAACCCCGGGAGGGGAGUGAAAAAGAACCUGAAACCCUGUGUUUACAAGCAGUGAAAGUGCGAGCAAGGCACGAUCACGUACUUUUUGUAGAACGGACCGGCGAGUUACGUUAUGCAGCAAGGUUAAGAACUGAAGGUUCGGAGCCGAAGCGAAAGCGAGUCUGAAUAGGGCGAAAGUUGCAUGACGUAGACCCGAAACCGGGUGACCUAUCCAUGAGCAGGUUGAAGUGGAGGUAAAGCUCCAUGGAGGACCGAACCAGACGUCUGUUGAAAAAGGCGGGGAUGACUUGUGGAUAGGGGAGAAAUUCCAAUCGAACCCGGAGAUAGCUGGUUCUCCUCGAAAUAGCUUUAGGGCUAGCCUCAUGGAUCAUUGGUGGGGGUAGAGCACUGAAUGUGCGCGGGGGCCACAAAGCCUACCAAACGCUAUCAAACUUCGAAUACCAUACAAUGCAGACCAUGGGAGUCAGUCCGCGAGAGAUAAGUUCCGCGGGCAAAAGGGGAACACCCCAGAUCAACCGCUAAGGUCCCCAAGUUCACGUUAAGUGGAGAAGGAUGUGGAAUUGCACAGACAACCAGGAUGUUGGCUCAGAAGCAGCCACACAUUUAAAGAGUGCGUAAUAGCUCACUGGUCGAGUGAUUGUGCGCCGAAGAUGUCCGGGGCUAAACGUGACACCGAAGCGAUGGGUGCGUCUGAAGAAGAUGCGCGGUAGAGGAGCAAUGUGCAGAGGCAGAAGCCGUAUCGAGAGGCACGGUGGACACUGCACAAGAGAGAAUGCCGGUAUGAGUAGCGAGAGGCAUGCGAGAAACAUGCCCGUCGAAAGCCCAAGGUUUCCUGGGGAAGGUUCAUCCGCCCAGGGUAAGUCGGGGCCUAAGCCGAGGACGGAAGUCGUAGGCGAUGGACAGCAGGUGUAGAUUCCUGCACUACCGAUGGAAUGAAGCAGUGACACAGAAGGAUAACUCGAGCAGGGUGAUGGUCAACCCUGUGCAAGCAUCAAGGUUGGGUUGUAGUGAAGUACGCAAUCCUACAAGCUGAGGUGUGAUGCGGACCGAAAUUUCAGUAGGGAAGCGAGUGAGUUCACGCUGGCGAGAAAAGCUGCUAGUAUAUCCAAAGGUACCCGUACCGGAAACCGACGCAGGUGGGCGAGGAGAGAAUCCUGAGACGAACGGGAGAACCCUUGUUAAGGAACUCGGCAAAAUGACCCCGUAACUUCGGGAUAAGGGGUGCCUGCGAGAGCAGGCCGCAGAGAAUAGUCACAAGCGACUGUUUAGCAAAAACACAGGUAUCUGCGAAAGCGAGAGCUGACGUAUAGGUGCUGACACCUGCCCGGUGCUGGAAGGUUAAGGGAACAUGUUAGAGCAAUCGAAGCAUCGAACCGAAGCCCCAGUAAACGGCGGCCGUAACUAUAACGGUCCUAAGGUAGCGAAAUUCCUUGUC
rnacentral:rRNA from 1 species